rnacentral:rRNA from 1 species
GACGAACGCUGGCGGCGUGCUUAACACAUGCAAGUCGAACGGAAAGGCCCUGCUUUUGUGGGGUGCUCGAGUGGCGAACGGGUGAGUAACACGUGAGUAACCUGCCCUUGACUUUGGGAUAACUUCAGGAAACUGGGGCUAAUACCUGAUAGGAGCUCCUGCUGCAUGGUGGGGGUUGGAAAGUUUCGGCGGUUGGGGAUGGACUCGCGGCUUAUCAGCUUGUUGGUGGGGUAGUGGCUUACCAAGGCUUUGAGGGGUAGCCGGCCUGAGAGGGUGACCGGCCACAUUGGGACUGAGAUACGGCCCAGACUCCUACGGGAGGCAGCAGUGGGGAAUAUUGCACAAUGGGCGGAAGCCUGAUGCAGCAACGCCGCGUGCGGGAUGACGGCCUUCGGGUUGUAAACCGCUUUCGCCUGUGACGAAGCGUGAGUGACGGUAAUGGGUAAAGAAGCACCGGCUAACUACGUG